rnacentral:misc_RNA from 1 species
AGACGUACACACAGGGCGAGGUGGCAGUUGCGCGUGAGCAUGGACUUGUGUGCUGUGCCGCCCAUCUGACCUCUGCGAUUCUUCUCCUAUACCUCACCCCAAUCAAGCACAGAUGGACAGCGACGACGCAGCUGGCCGGUUCAUCGAUCUCACGCCGGUUCGGCCGCCGCGGCGUCGAGAGACGACGCCACCACCACCACUCGGGCGUGCGGACGACUACAGCUUCACCGCGGCAGCGCCACCUGACAGCGUGAGCUUCCCCCUCCUAGGCCACGGCGCUGGGGGCGGGGGUGGGGAUGUUGGAGCGACUGUCGGCCCCACCGGCUCCGCCACAUUAGGAGAAGCUUCUGAGGCAGUCGCUGUGGCCGCCUACAGUGGGGCGAUGCAGCAGCGCUCGGAGGAGUACUCGUACAUCUGGGGCACCGGCAUCGCUGUGGAGGUGUUUCGCGACGAGUUCCGCCGCUACCUUGAAACAUUUGCGCUCGGGCAGGUGGUGGCCGAUCCGUCGCGGCGCACGCCUCAGUCCAACGGCGGUGAGGCGGCAGCGGCACGCUCUUCUGUAAGUGACACCCCCGCAGCCGCAGCCACGGCGUACGCACUUCAGGAGAAGUAUUACCUAAAGGAGCUCCUGCGUAUGCACAUGCAGGGCCGCAGCACGCUCGAGGUAGACUUUACUUGGUUGCAACGGGUGGCGCCACGGCUCUACGUGCAGACGGUGCACCACCCCACCGAGUGCCUGCAGAUGAUGUCAGCCGUGGCCGACGAGGUGUACCGUGAUGUACUGCUGCUCCGCCACGGCAUCGAAGUGGCAGAAGACGUGCUCAUCGCUGUGGCGGCGAAGAAGCUGCCUUCCAUGUGGACGCUGAAGCAGCUGAGUCCGCAGCACAUUGAGCAGCUGCUGAGCAUCAAAGGGAUGGUGAUUCGCGUCUCCAAGAUCAUUCCCGAGAUUCGAGUAGCGUGCUUCCAGUGCUGGAACUGCCAGUACCAGGAGCGCAGCGUGAGCGGGGACAAGGGCCGCAUCUUCGAGCCGACUCGCUGCGCGCACUGUGGAAAGACCUACUCCUUCAAGCUGCAGCACAACCUGUCGCUCUACGAGGACAAACAGCUCAUCAAGGUGCAGGAGUCGCCGGAGCACGUCGCGGACGGCGAGACACCCAUCUCGAUCGGUGUCGUGGUGUACGGUAGCAUGGUCGACGCAGUCGUGCCAGGCGACCGCGUCAUUGUCACGGGUGUGUACCGGUCCACCCCAAUUCGGCUCAAUGCCAACACGCGCAUCAUCAAGAGCAUCUUCGCCACCCACAUCGAUGCCGUCCACAUUGAGCUGGUUCGUGCGACUCGUGCGUCAGAGGCGGGGGCGAGGAAAGGCUGCUUCGCCAACGGCAACGCCACCGGCACCGGUCUCCAUGUCUCCACGCCGACGUUAGCGACCGCGAAGAAUGCGGAGGGAGACCUGUCCAGUGCGGUGCUGAUGGACACGGCGCGCCUCGACAUGUUUCAUUCCCUCGCCCAUCGCCCUGACAUCUACGACGUGCUCCUCCACUCCUUCGCCCGCACCAUCUGGGGCCACGACGACGUCAAGCGCGGCAUCCUGGCGCAGCUCUUUGGCGGGACAGCGAAGACGUUCGUGUUCAGCGAGCGCAUCGGUAGCGGCGCCGCAGCGACGACAAGCAGCAACAGCGCGGUCUUCCGCUCCGAACUCAACGUGCUGCUGUGUGGUGACCCAGGUGUGGCCAAGUCGCAGCUGCUCACGCAGGUGCACGAGAUCGCGCCGCGCGGCGUGUACACCUCCGGCAAGGGCAGCAGCAGCGUCGGCCUCACCGCCUUUGUUGUGCAGGACAGUGACACAGGGGAGUUGGUGCUGGAGCCGGGUGCGCUCGUCCUCUCGGAUCGUGGCCUGUGCUGCAUCGACGAGUUCGACAAGAUGAACGAGGCCACCCGGUCGGUGCUGCACGAGGUAAUGGAGCAGCAGACCUUGUCGAUCGCCAAGGCCGGCAUCAUCGCGCAGCUUAACGCCCGCACGUCCAUCCUGGCCGCGGCCAACCCGAAGGACUCACAGUGGAAUGCGCAGCUGAACGUUGUCGAGAACCUCCAGAUCGAGCCGACGCUGCUCUCGCGAUUCGAUCUCAUCUUCCUCCUCCUCGACUGCCACGACUCCGCGGAGGAUCGUCGGCUGGCCGCGCACGUUCUUUCGCUUUACAUGGACACCUCCCGUGGCGCGCGCACUCGACGCGCCGUCACCAAUGGCAGUGGUGCGGCCGGCGGACGUGUGCCGCCGCAGGGAGGUUGCAACGAUGACGGCUCCGGUGAGGAGGACGAGGCGACGCAGUGGCGCAGCACCGCCAGUGCAGGGCAGCCAACCGCGGCCUCAGAUGACGCCGCGGGCACCGCGAGCACGCACGUGGAUGCAACUACCGGGCUGCCGGUGGAGGUGCACAUGGAGCUGCAUGGUGAGGUGUUCCUGCAGGGUCCGCCCGAUGCGCCGUACAUGCCGGCCAACAUCCUCUCCGAGUACAUUGCACUGGCGCGCGAGACCAUCUUUCCGAAGCUAACGGAGGCGUCGCACAAGAUGCUCGCACGGUGCUACGUGGAGCUGCGCCAGGCCCGCGGCAGCAGUUGCACCGUCUCAGCGACGCUGCGGCAACUGGAGUCCAUGAUUCGCCUCUCCGAGGCCCGCGCGAAGAUGCGCUACGGCAGCGAGGUGUCCGUCGAGGACGUGGUGGAGGCGAAGCGCAUCAUCAGCGCUGCUCUGAAGAAAGCCGCCACAGACCCAACGACGGGGCUCAUCAACCUCGACAUGUUCCACGCCGCUGACCCCGGCAAGAACACGGUGGAGGGAAACAUGCGGCGCCUGGAGGACCUGCUAAAGCGCCGCUACCUCGCCCAGGGGCGGCACACCGUUUCCGUGGCGGAGUUGCGCUCCGUCUUCAACGAGCAGCAGUCCGGCGCGGCGCGGCCAGUAGCACCGGCGCAGUUUGUGGAACUUCUCGCCCUUCUCUCCGGCGGCGACGUAGUGCAGUCCUUCACUGCCACGACGGUGACUCUGGCGAUGGCCGGAGCAGCGCCAAUGUGAACUGGCGGGAGAAGGCGAGGAGGAAGCGAGAAGCACCGGCUGCCCUGGCCUAGCAGCGAGCAGAAGGUAAGUGAAAGGGGACGGCGCUGGAUGAGGGCCUCGGGCCCCAUGCGACGCCUGCACCACCUCAUUUUGCAAUCAUAGAGAGUCAAGCAC